rnacentral:rRNA from 1 species
UGCAUAUCAAAAAAGCGGAGGAAAAGAAACCAACCGGGAUUGCCUUAGUAACGGCGAGUGAAGCGGCAAAAGCUCAAAUUUGAAAUCUGGUACCUUCGGUGCCCGAGUUGUAAUUUGGAGAGGGCAACUUUGGGGCCGUUCCUUGUCUAUGUUCCUUGGAACAGGACGUCAUAGAGGGUGAGAAUCCCGUGUGGCGAGGAGUGCGGUUCUUUGUAAAGUGCCUUCGAAGAGUCGAGUUGUUUGGGAAUGCAGCUCUAAGUGGGUGGUAAAUUCCAUCUAAAGCUAAAUAUUGGCGAGAGACCGAUAGCGAACAAGUACAGUGAUGGAAAGAUGAAAAGAACUUUGAAAAGAGAGUGAAAAAGUACGUGAAAUUGUUGAAAGGGAAGGGCAUUUGAUCAGACAUGGUGUUUUGUGCCCUCUGCUCCUUGUGGGUAGGGGAAUCUCGCAUUUCACUGGGCCAGCAUCAGUUUUGGUGGCAGGAUAAAUCCAUAGGAAUGUAGCUUGCCUCGGUAAGUAUUAUAGCCUGUGGGAAUACUGCCAGCUGGGACUGAGGACUGCGACGUAAGUCAA